UCUGGUCCAGACACUGUGGAGC
rnacentral:miRNA from 1 species